rnacentral:rRNA from 1 species
UACGUAGGGGGCAAGCGUUGUCCGGAUUUAUUGGGCGUAAAGAGCUCGUAGGUGGUUCGGUAAGUCGGGUGUGAAACCUCCAGGCUCAACCUGGAGACGCCACCCGAUACUGCUGUGACUGGAGUCCGGUAGGGGAGCGUGGAAUUCCUGGUGUAGCGGUGAAAUGCGCAGAUAUCAGGAGGAACACCAGUGGCGAAGGCGGUGCUCUGGGCCGGAACUGACGCUGAGGAGCGAAAGCGUGGGGAGCAAACAGG